GUGGGGAAUAUUGGGCAAUGGGCGCAAGCCUGACCCAGCAACGCCGCGUGAGGGAAGAAGGCUUUCGGGUUGUAAACCUCUGUCCUUGGUGACGAAAAAAAUGACGGUAGCCAAGGAGGAAGCCCCGGCUAACUACGUGCCAGCAGCCGCGGUAAUACGUAGGGGGCGAGCGUUGUCCGGAAUUACUGGGCGUAAAGGGUGCGUAGGUGGCCUUUUAAGUUGGAUGUGAAAUCCCCGGGCUUAACUUGGGUGGUGCAUCUAAUACUGGAGGGCUAGAGUGCAGGAGAGGGAAGCGGAAUUCCUAGUGUAGCGGUGAAAUGCGUAGAUAUUAGGAGGAACACCAGUGGCGAAGGCGGCUUUCUGGACUGUAACUGACACUGAGGCACGAAAGCGUGGGGAGCAAACAGGAUUAGAAACCCGAGUAGUCC
rnacentral:rRNA from 1 species